GACGAACGCUGGCGGCGUGCCUAAUACAUGCAAGUCGAGCGAGACUCUUCGGAGUCUAGCGGCGGACGGGUGAGUAACACGUGGGCAACCUGCCUGUAAGACUGGGAUAACACCGGGAAACCGGUGCUAAUACCGGAUAAUCCUUUUCUUCUCAUGAAGAAAAGCUGAAAGUCGGUUUCGGCUGACACUUACAGAUGGGCCCGCGGCGCAUUAGCUAGUUGGUGGGGUAACGGCUCACCAAGGCGACGAUGCGUAGCCGACCUGAGGGGGUGAUCGGCCACACUAGGACUGAGACACGGCCCAGACUCCUACGGGAGGCAGCAGUAGGGAAUCUUCCACAAUGGACGAAAGUCUGAUGGAGCAACGCCGCGUGAGCGAUGAAGGCCUUCGGGUCGUAAAGCUCUGUUGUUAGGGAAGAACAAGUACCGGAGUAACUGCCGGUACCUUGACGGUACCUAACCAGAAAGCCACGGCUAACUACGUGCCAGCAGCAGCCGCCGUAA
rnacentral:rRNA from 1 species